UGUGGUAUUUUGACUAUACGAAGGUAUUGAAAUAAGGCUUUAAAUGAGUGCUAAGAGAAUGGUUGAACAAUUAUGGGCUUUCUUUAAUUAAUAAAUUGAAUUUAAUGUUUUUGUGAAGAAGCAAAAAUGAUAAUUAGGGACAAGAAGACCCUAUGAAUUUUUAAACUGAAAUUAUUAUUUGUAUGAUUUUUCAGUUUUAAUUGGGGCGAUGAGAAAAGAAUAUUUAUCUUUUUUUUAAUAAGUUAAUUUGAUCCAUUAAUAAUGAUUAAAUGAUUUAAAUACUCUAGGGAUAACAGCGUAAUAAUUUCGGAUAGUUCAUAUAGAUGAAAUAGUUUGCGACCUCGAUGUUGGAUUAGGAUACUUUUUUGGUGGAGAAAUUAAUAUAAAGAAGUUUGUUCAACUUUUAAAAU
rnacentral:rRNA from 1 species